ACGAACGCUGGCGGCGUGCUUAACACAUGCCAGUCGAACGGAAAGGCCCUGCUUUUGUGGGGUGCUCGAGUGGCGAACGGGUGAGUAACACGUGAGUAACCUGCCCUUGACUUUGGGAUAACUUCAGGAAACUGGGGCUAAUACCGGAUAGGAGCUCCUGCUGCAUGGUGGGGGUUGGAAAGUUUCGGCGGUUGGGGAUGGACUCGCGGCUUAUCAGCUUGUUGGUGGGGUAGUGGCUUACCAAGGCUUUGACGGGUAGCCGGCCUGAGAGGGUGACCGGCCACAUUGGGACUGAGAUACGGCCCAGACUCCUACGGGAGGCAGCAGUGGGGAAUACUGCACAAUGGGCGGAAGCCUGAUGCAGCAACGCCGCGUGCGGGAUGACGGCCUCCGGGUUGUAAACCGCUUUCGCCUGUGACGAAGCGUGAGUGACGGUAAUGGGUAAAGAAGCACCGGCUAACUACGUG
rnacentral:rRNA from 1 species